rnacentral:rRNA from 1 species
AUGGGGGAGGGCGCGCCAUGCAGCUUCACGCCGCGGCGCCGGGGGGUGCUGUGGCGCGGCCUGGGCCUCGGCCGGCGCCGUAAGCUCCAGGUCGCCUGGCUCGGCGGCGGCAGGGCAGGCGGUGGCGGUGGCCGUUGCCACGGGCUCCUGCGGCGGCUCCGCCUGCGCUGGCUCCGGCGCGCCGUCCGCAAGCUGGCCGCGAUCUACAUGGCGGCGCUGGCAGGUCCGCCGGCGUCGUCGUCGUGCCCUGCGUGGGUCGGCGUGGAGCCCUGCUUCGCCACGCCGUUCAUCUUCGUCCCCAACGCCCCGCGGUUCUUGUGA